GACAACCAGGAGGUUGGCUUAGAAGCAGCCACCCUUGAAAGAGUGCGUAAUAGCUCACUGGUCAAGUGAUUCCGCGCCGACAAUGUAGCGGGGCUCAAGCACACCACCGAAGCUGUGGCAUUGACACAUUGCCCGGCCGUGAUGUCUGAGGACUCACGGUCCAAGCGUGUUGAUGGGUAGGGGAGCGUCGUGUGGCCAGGGAAGCGGCGGAGUGAUCCAGCCGUGGAGGCCACACGAGUGAGAAUGCAGGCAUGAGUAGCGAAAGACGGGUGAGAAACCCGUCCGCCGAAUAACCAAGGGUUCCAGGGUCAAGCUAAUCUGCCCUGGGUAAGUCGGGACCUAAGGCGAGGCCGACAGGCGUAGUCGAUGGACAUCCGGUUGAUAUUCCGGAACCGGCGAAGAACCGCCCAUACCGAACCACGUAAUGCUAAGCGCCUGAAGUGUGGCACCGUCUUCGGAUGGUUCCUCAUGGAGCGCGCGACCCUAGCGAGUAGUAGGUAAGCAAUGGAGAGACGCAGGAAGGUAGCCGAACCGCGGCGAUGGUUGUUCCGCGGGUAAGGGUGUAGGGCGAGGUGUAGGCAAAUCCGCACCUCAUGUGCCUGAGACCUGACACGGACCCGUAAGGGGAAGUCGGUGAUCCUAUGCUGCCAAGAAAAUCUUCUAGCGAGGUUCUAGCCGCCCGUACCCCAAACCGACUCAGGUGGUUAGGUAGAGAAUACCAAGGCGAUCGAGUGAAUCGUGGUUAAGGAAUUCGGCAAAAUACCCCCGUAACUUCGGGAGAAGGGGGGCCCAGAGGGUGACGGGACUUGCUCCCCGAGCCUGAACGGCCGCAGAGACCAGGGAGAAGCGACUGUUUACUAAAAACACAGGUCCGUGCCAAGUCGCAAGACGAUGUAUACGGACUGACGCCUGCCCGGUGCUGGAAGGUUAAGAGGACCGGUUAGACCGCAAGGUCGAAGCUGAGAAUUUAAGCCCCAGUAAACGGCGGUGGUAACUAUAACCAUCCUAAGGUAGCGAAAUUCCUUGUCGGGUAAGUUCCGACCUGCACGAAUGGCGUAACGACUUCUCCACUGUCUCAACCGCGAACUCGGCGAAAUUGCACUACGAGUAAAGAUGCUCGUUACGCGCAGCAGGACGGAAAGACCCCGGGACCUUUACUAUAGCUUGGUAUUGGUGUUCGGUACGGCUUGUGUAGGAUAGGUGGGAGACUGUGAAGCAUGCACGCCAGUGUGGGUGGAGUCAACGUUGAAAUACCACUCUGGUCGUUCUGGAUAUCUAACCUCGGUCCGUAAUCCGGAUCAGGGACAGUGCCUGGUGGGUAGUUUAACUGGGGCGGUUGCCUCCUAAAAGGUAACGGAGGCGCCCAAAGGUUCCCUCAGCCUGGUUGGCAAUCAGGUUUCGAGUGUAAGUGCACAAGGGAGCUUGACUGUGAGACUGACAAGUCGAACAGGGACGAAAGUCGGGACUAGUGAUCCGGCGGUGGCUUGUGGAAGCGCCGUCGC
rnacentral:rRNA from 1 species